UCCAAGCCCCCUCCCCCUCCUUAGCCCCGCCCGCCCUGCAGCAGCCCGGCCCGCCGCCGCCGCCGCCGCCGCCGCCGACCUUUGAGCGCAGCUCCGCCCUGCCCGCCAGCCUGGCCCGGCUCUGCUCGGCGCCUCCGUUGCCCACAGCCGCUACCCAGGUGGGCUGAGCGGGAGGGCAGGCCGCGAGAAGGGGUGGUGGUGCUGCUAGCCUGAUGUGGAGUGCAGGGCAGAUGGGAGGGGGCUUCCCCACCCCCACCCGGAGUCUUCUCUCGGAACGCCCAAGUCCACAGCUCCAGAUGUGGCCCAGCUGCUCGCCUUUAGAGACCGUUUCCCAAGGCCCAGACUAUCUCCGCUCCCUGUGGGGGUCUCCAACCCUCCUGCGCCCGCCACUCGGCCCAGGCCGGCCCGGGGAGGUCUCAGGGCCAGUGCAAGAAGUUUGGAGCAGGAUGGACCUGAGGCCAAUGACUCCUUCCUCCAUCAAAAGGGCAAACUGGAAUCUUCGCCUUCCCCAAGAAGGGGCUUCGGGCCACUCAAAGAAGAAAUGACUUUUUUUCCUGUUUUUUUUUAAACCCUGUAAAAUCUGUGAGUCACUGUGUUUCUCUGGGUCUAUAUGCGUCUCUUGGGUGUGUUAGAGUAUCUCUGAGUGCCUAUAUUGUAUGCAGUUGUGUUUUUGUGUGCCUGGAUUUCUCUGUAUGUAUGCCUGUGUGCCUUUGUGUCUUUGAGUGGUUGCGUGUACCUCUGUAUUAUGUCUUAGUACAACUCUUAAGACACAAGAGUGGUAAUGGCUAGGCAGAUGGGGUUAAAUGACUUGCACAGGGUCACACAGAUAGGAAGUGUCCAAGGCGAGAUUUGAACCUAGGACCUCUCAACUCCAAGCCUGAUGCUCUAUCCACUAUGUCACCUCUCUACCCCCAAGAAUUGCCUUUUUUUUUAACCCUUACCUUACAAUACUGUGUAUUGGUUCCAAGGCAGAAGAGUGGUAAGGGCUAGGCAAUGGGGGUCAAGUGACCUACCCAGGGUCACACAGCUGGGAAGUGUCUGAGGCCAGAUUUGAACCCAGGACCUCCCAUCUCUAGGCCUGGCUCUCAAUCCACUGAGUCACCCAGCUGCUCCCUACGAAUUGACUUCUUCACGAGCUUCAUGUUUCCAUAGAAACAUAGAAGAAGCUCCUAAAACUCAUUAAGCAAGGGGCUAAUGUGGGGGGGGGGAAUCAGAGGAGAGAACUGAGUGAAGGGCACAUUGGAAUCAUCAUCAUAAUAGCUAACAUUUCUAUUUGUUAUUGUUCAAUCAUUUCAGUCAGGUCCAACUCUUCCAUACCCCAUUUAGGGUUUCCUUUUUCUUUUUGAAAUCCUUACCUUCCAUCUUAAAACCAAAGGUAGAUAAGGGCUAGGCAAAAGGAGUUAAAUGACUCUCCCAGGGUCACACAACUAGGGAAGUAUCUGAGGCCAGAUUUGAACCCAGGACCUCCCAUCUCCAAGCCUGGCUCUCAAUCCACUGAGCCACCCAGCCACUCCCUAAGAAUUGACUUCUUCAAGGGCCUCAUGU
rnacentral:lncRNA from 1 species